rnacentral:lncRNA from 1 species
CCAAUCUUGCUUCCAAGAGCAGCUUUAUUCCAAAUAAUCCACAGGUCAAAAUGUAAAUGAUGAAUUCUCCACUGCUUACUUCGGACUAGCCAGUUGGUCCUGCCUAUGCUGCUGACAUAGCUUCAUGUGCCUUUGAGUCCAACAUAAGACAAAACAAAUUCCACGUUUGCAUCUCUUUGAAACUCCAUUGCCUGUGACUACUUGAUAUGGUUUGGCUGUGUCCUUACCCAAAUCUUAUCUGAAAUUUUAAUCUAAAUUGUAAUCCCCAGGUGUCCAGGGAGGGACCUGGUGGGAGGUGAUUGGAUCAUGGGAACGGAUUUCCCCCUUGCUCUUCUUGUGAUAGGAGUGAGUUCUCACGAGACCUGAUGGUUUUAUAAGAGGCUCUUCCCCUUCCCUCCCUCUCUCUCUCUCUCUCUCUCUCUCGCUGCCUUGUGAAGAAGGUGUCUGCUUCCCCUUCAUCUUCCGCCAUGAUUGUUAAAUUUCCUGAGGCCUCCUCAUCCAUAUGGAACUGAACCAUGAUAGUGUUUGGUACAUAGAGGACACUGGAAAUGGUUUUCUUAACUGAACAAGUGACUAGAAUAAAGGAAUUAAUGAACGACAUCAGAGCUGAAAUCCCAAACCAUAAAUCAUAAAAGGAUCAGACAGCAAAGAGUACUCAACAAAUAUUACCUUGAUUUGAAGAACAUGCUGCUUCUUGGAUUUACUUUUAUCUACAGAACAAACUGGACAAUGAUUUCCAUGUCAUAAAGCUUUCAAUGAUUUGGCUCCAAACUUUCUUUUCAAUAUCAUCAUCUAUAGCUUCUUUCAUCUACAUACCCUCUGAUUCCAUAACAGUGAACAUGGCAUAAACUUUCAAGAAAAUCUUGUGCCUUUGUCUACAUAAUCUCUUAACAUGGAAUUUCCGUUUUUUUCUGAUUAUUUUUCAUCUUUCAAGACUAAGCUGAAAUGCUCUACAUCUUGAAUGUUUUACAUUUUCUUCAGUGUGAGCUAUUUACUACUACUUUCACAUUUUUGCAACUCUAAUAUGUCAACAAAAUUCAUUCUAGUAUUUUGCAGUAAUAUUGUAGAUGCUUAAAAUAAAUGAUGAAUGAAUUCAUAACAGUCAAAGAUUUUCUAAAAGAUAUGGAAAUAAUUAUUCAUAUAAGUGUCAUAUCCUUUGACUUAAAAUUUUAAUAAAGGAUUAAAAUUUAUUUUUCUCAACACUGAAUUUCAGUAAUAUGUAUUAUCUCCUUUUUUUCAGCUUUUAUUUUGGAUACAGAGGGUACACGUGCGGGUUUGUUACAUGGGCAUAUUGUGUAACACAGGCUUGGAGUACAGAUGAUCCUGUCACCAAGGUAGUGAGCAUAGGCGGUUUUUCGGCCAACACCCCCUCCUCCCUCUAUCCUAUAAGGGUCCCAUAUUUACAUCAGUGUGUACCCAAUAUUUAUUUCCCACUUAUAAACGAGGACGUGGUAUUUAGUUUUCUGUUCCUGUGUUAAUUCACUUAGGACAAUGGCCUCCUGCUGCAUUCAUGUUGCUGCAAAGGACAUGAUUUUCUUCUUUUAUGGCUGUUUAGUAUCCCAUGAUGCGUAUAUGUACCACAUACUUUAUCCAAUACACCAUAAAUGGAUAUUAGGUUGAUUCCAUGUCUUUGCUCUGGUGAAUAUCACUGCAAUGAACAUAUGAGUUCAUGUGACUUUUUGGUAGAAUGAUUUAUUUUCCUUUGGGUAUAUACCCACUAAUUGGAUUGCUGGGUCUAAUGGUAAUUCUGUUUUAUUUAGAGGUCUUUGAAAAAUCUCCAAACUACUUUCCAUGGUUGCUGAACUAAUUUACAUUCCCACUAACAGUGUAUAAACAUUCCCUUUUUUUUCAAAGCCUUGCUAGCAUAUGUUAUUUAUUUUAUUUUAUUUAUUUUAUUUUUUGACUUUUUAAUGAUCUACAUUCUGACUGCUAUGAGUUGGCAUCUCAUCAUGGUUUUGAUUUGCAUUUCUCUGACGAUUAGUGAUGAUUAACAUUUUUUCAUUUGCUUGUUGGUCCCUUAAAUACCUUCUUUUGAGAAGUAUCUUUUUAUGCCCUUUGCUCAUUUUUUACUUGGAUUAUUUGUUUUCUUCUUUUUGAUUUGUGUAAGUUCCUCAUAGAUUCUGAAUGUUAGCUAUGAAGUUAUCAUCAUCCUGAUACCAAAAUCUGGCAGAGACAAAAAAAAAAAAAAGAAAGAAAAGAAAACUACAGGCCAAUAGAUAAACCUAGACACAAAACCCUCAAAAAAAUAAUAACAAGUUGAAUCCAGUAGCACAUCAAAAAGUAAGUUCACCACAAUCAAGUAAGCUUAUUCCUGGGAUGCAAGGUUGGUUCAAUAUAUGCAAAUCAGUACAUGUGAUUCACCACAUAAACAGAAUCAAAACCAAAAUCUGUAUGAUCAUCUCAACAGACACAGAUUAAGCUUUUGGUAAAACCCAGCUUACUUUCAUGAUCAAAAUCCUCAACAGACUAGGCAGCAAAGGAACAGACCUAAAAAUAUUAAGGGGCAACCAGGACAAAUGCACAGCAAAUAUCAUAUUGAUCAGGCAAACGCUAGAAGCAUUCUCCCUGAGAACUGGCACAAGACAAGGACACCCAUUUUCACUGCUCCUAUUCAACAUAGUCCUAGCCAGAGCAAUCAGGUAAGAGAAAAAUAAAAGGCUUGGGAGGCCAAGGCAGGCGGAUCACGAGGUCAGGAGAUCAAGACCAUCCUGGCUAACACAGUGAAACACGGUCUCUACCAAAACUACCAAAACUUAGCUAAGCAUGGUGGUGGGCGCCUGUAGUCCCAGCUACUUGGGAGGCUGAGGCAGGAGAAUGGCUUGAACCCGGGAGGCAGAGCUUGCAGUGAGUGGAGACCACACCACUGCACUUCAGCCUGGGCGACAAAGCGAGACUCCAUCUCAAAAAAAAAAAAAGAAAAAAAAGAAAAAGGCAUCCUCAACAAACUAACAGGAACAGAAAACCAAACACCACAUGUUAUCACUCAUAAGUGGGAGUUGAACAAUGAGAACACAUGGACACAGGCAGGGGAACAACACUCACCUGGGCCAGUUGGGGGUAGGGGACAAGGCAAAGGAGAGCAUUAGGACAAUUAGCUAAUGCAUGAUGGGCUUAAAACUUAGAUGACAGGUUAAUAGGUGCAGUAAACCACCAUGACACACGUAUACCUGUGUAACAAACCUGUGCGUUCUGUAUUUGUAUCCCAGAACAUAAAGUAAAAUGAAUAAAUAUAAUUUUUAUGAAAAAAUAAGAAAUUAACCUAUCUAUCUUUGCUGAUUAUAUGAUUAUUUGCCUAGGAAACCUUAACGACUCCACCAAAAGGCUUGUAUACCCAGGAAACAACUUCAGUAAACUUUCAUGAUACAAAAUCACUGUACAAAAAUCAGUAGCAUUUCUACACACCAAUAAUGACUUAACUGAAAGCCAAAUCAAGAGCACAAUGGCAUUUACAAUAGCCACAUCAAAAAAAAAUGAACUAUCUGGGAAUACAUCUAACCAAGGAGGUGGAAGAUCUCUAAAAAGAACUACAAAACACUGCUGAAAGAAAUAAGAAAUAUCAAAAAUAAAUGGAAAAAAUAUUCCAUGCUCAUGGAUUGGAAGAAUCUGUAUCAUUAAAAUGGCCAUACCAUUCAAAGCAAUCUACAGAUUCAAUGCCAUUCCUAUCAAAAUACCAAAAUUAUUUUUCACAGAAGUAGAAAAAUUUUUUUUUACAAUUUGUACAGAACCAGAAAAGAACUAAUGCAAUCCUAAGAAAAAAAAAAAGGAAACCAAAGCUGAAGGCAUCAUGUUAUCUGAAUUCAAACUAUACUAUAAGACUACAGUAACAAAAACAGCAUGGUACUGAUACAAAAACAGACACAUACACCAGUGGAAAAUAAUAGAGAAUCCAGAAAUGGAGGUACAUACCUGAAACCAUGUGUUCUUCAACAAAAUUGACAAAAGUAAGCACUGGGAAAAGGACUCCCUAUCCAAUAAAUGGUGCUGGGACAACUAGAUAGCCAUAUAAAAAUACAGCUGAACCCCUAUCUUUCACCAUGUACAAAAAUUAACUCAAGAUGGACUAAAGAUUUAAAUGUAAGACCUCUAAUUAUAAAAAUCCCAGAAGAAAACUUAGGAAAUACUCUUCUUGACAUCGACUUUGGCAAAGAAUUUAUGUUUAUGUCCUGAAAAGCAAUUGCAACAAAAACAAAAAUUGACAAGUGAGAUAUAAUUAAACUAAAGAGCUCCCACACAGCAAAAGACAUUUCAACACAGUAAACAAAGAGAGCCUACAAAAUGGGAGAAAAUAUUCACAAACUAUGCAUUCAACGAAGGUCUAUUAUUUCUCUUCUAAUGGGAACGCUUCAUGAUCACUGUGAUCAGGUCUUAUUUUUGUGUAUGUCACAAGCCUUAUUACAAUAUUGAAUAUACAGUAGUUCUUUAAAAUCAUGAUGAAUAAAUGAAUAAUCAUCAUGAUAACUUAGUAUACAUGUAUCGUGCCCUCUUUUGUUUGUGAUGAAGUUGAUGAUGUAUACUCAUGACUAUGGGCCUUUAUCCUAAUGCAUCAACCUUCAUUUCCUCUCUAUUUACUUAGACCAAUUACCAGUUUCACUGUAAAACCCCAGGUGCUAUAAUUAUUAUUAUUUUUUGCCUGUACUGUAGCAUACCUAGCACAGAGAUAGAGUUGACUUUUUUAUGACUACCCAACAAGUAUUCCUUAAGUUGAAGAAGGCAGUAAAAUUGCAUGCAGUGAAUAGAUCUCAAAUAUUUGGUACUUGUAAUAGUAGAGGCUUUAAAAAGUUUGGUAUUUUUAUUCUUUUAUUACUUCCCAGUCCCAAUCUCUGAUGCAGCUGGGAUAAAUUUUCCAAUAGCCUAAAGCAGCCCACCUCUUCUUUCUCACCCCACCAUACAUAUAUGCACACACACAGGCUGAGUCACAUGUUUGGUGAAAAUAUUUAGGUCAAAAUAAUAUCUUCAUCUGACUACUACACAAAGCUAUUAGUCAUUAAAAGUCGGGUACGUACAUGAAGUUAAUGUUAUAAUUUUACAAAUUAGAAAACAAAUUUUUCUGUAGGGAUGUAGACCAAGAGCAAUCCACUCAAAUACUUGUAUCUCUAUAUUCUGAGAGCUGUCCUGAAAAGAGAAGGCUCACUAAAAUUAUGUGUGUGUAUGCCUAUAAAAGAAAUAUACAUACAUACACUCACAUACACACAAAUAUAAUGCAUGCAUAUGUUAAUGUUUAUAUAUGCAUGUAUAUACAUUUUAAAUUAAAUUCCAUUAAUUUGCACAGGUCUGAUAAUAUUAGGAUUCAAUGGUAGUAGAUGGUAGAGUAUAUAUGCUUAGCCAUGCUUCUACAGUUGUGUCAGACACUGUUUUAAUACCAGUUAGUAACUCACUGUUCACCAUAAAAUGAAAAAGAAACUGAAGAGAUUGAUGCAAGCAUAGAGUUCCUCCCCCAUAAGUGAUAAGGUAGGAAUUGUCUCAAGAAACAAAUCAACAUUUUAUCAAAAAUACAUACAGCCAAACAGCUAUAAUUCUCUACUGUGUUUUUCUUCCAUAAAAGUCUGUCAUGGGAAUGUGAUGCACCUAUAUUACAAAUCAAUCCAAGGCCAUUUCAAGGUUAUACUCACUCUCUGGGGCAUUGAGCUAAUGAAUUUGAGUGACUUUAUUCAUUAUAUAAAAUUUAUUACAUACUCAUUUAGUAUUGCACAUACGUUUCUCUUAAAGAUAAUACAAAACACAAUAAAUAACAUAUAAGAUAUUCAUGAUAAAGACAAAACUCAAUUAGUGUUAAUCAUAGUUCUUUCACAGAAAGUAGAAAUCUACCACAGUAACACAUAUAGAAAAGGUACUAAAUAAUAUCCAUUUGAUAAAUAAGUAGCAUACCCUAUGCAAUGUAUAAAAGACUGAAUAAACAAAUAGAAGAAGAAAUGCAGAAGGAGGAUAAAUUAAUUAUGUUUUUAGAAUUAUGUUUUUAGAAGGCAGUGCAAAAGAAACUUCCUAAAAGAGCUGGCUCUUGAUUUGAGCCUUAAAAGAUGCCUUAAAGUUCUUGAUGAUGAAUAUGGUUUUGGAAAGGUAGAAAAAUAUUCCAUUACUUGAGGUAUGAAAGUAACCCAUGUAUGGAAUUAUAAAUGUGACUACCUCUCUAAUAGAACAUUUGAAGGGUAGUAUGAAUUGUGGUUAAAGGGU